UGGCUCAGGACGAACGCUGGCGGCGUGCCUAACACAUGCAAGUCGAACGGACUGAUCCCUUCGGGGAUGAAAGUUAGUGGCGGACGGGUGAGUAACGCGUGAGCAACCUGCCUUUCAGAGGGGAAUAACGUUUGGAAACAGACGCUAAUACCGCAUAACGCAUAGGUGUCGCAUGGCAUUUAUGCCAAAGGAGCAAUCCGCUGAAAGAUGGGCUCGCGUCCGAUUAGAUAGUUGGUGGGGUAACGGCCUACCAAGUCGACGAUCGGUAGCCGGACUGAGAGGUUGAACGGCCACAUUGGGACUGAGACACGGCCCAGACUCCUACGGGAGGCAGCAGUGGGGGAUAUUGCACAAUGGGCGCAAGCCUGAUGCAGCAACGCCGCGUGAGGGAAGACGGUUUUCGGAUUGUAAACCUCUGUCUUUGGUGACGAAGAAAUGACGGUAGCCGAGGAGGAAGCCACGGCUAACUACGUGCCAGCAGCAGC
rnacentral:rRNA from 1 species